AUUGAACGCUGGCGGCAGGCCUAACACAUGCAAGUCGAGCGCGCGGCGGACGGGUGAGUAAUGUCUGGGGAACUGCCCGAUAGAGGGGGAUAACUACUGGAAACGGUGGCUACUACUGCCUACAACCGGUUUUGCCCAGAUGGGAUUAGCUAGUCGGUGGGGUAACGGCGCACCUAGGCGACGAUCCCUAGCUGGUCUGAGAGGAUGACCAGCCAAACUGGGACUGAGACACGGCCCAGACUCCUACGGGAGGCAGCAGUGGGGAAUAUUGCACAAUGGGCGCAAGCCUGAUGCAGCCAUGCCGCGUGUAUGAAGAAGGCCUUCGGGUUGUAAAGUACUUUCAGCGGGGAGGCGUUACCCGCAGAAGAAGCACCGGCUAACUCCGUGCCAGCAGCCGCGGUAAUUC
rnacentral:rRNA from 1 species